CGAACGCUGGCGGCGUGCCUAAUACAUGCAAGUCGAGCGCGGGAAGCAGACUGAAAUCUUCGGAUGGACGUCUGUGGAACGAGCGGCGGAUGGGUGAGUAUCACGUGGGCAACCUGCCUGUAAGCUCGGGAUAACUCGCGGAAACGCGGGCUAAUACCGAAUGACCCUUGCAUCCGCAUGGAUGCAAGAUAAAAGGCGGCUUUUUGCUGUCACUUACAGAUGGGCCCGCGGCGCAUUAGCUAGUUGGUGGGGUAAUGGCUCACCAAAGCGACGAUGCGUAGCCGACCUGAGAGGGUGAUCGGCCACACUGGGACUGAGACACGGCCCAGACUCCUACGGGAGGCAGCAGUAGGGAAUCUUCCGCAAUGGACGAAAGUCUGACGGGGCAACGCCGCGUGAGUGACGAAGGUCUUCGGAUCGUAAAACUCUGUUGUCAGGGAGGAACAAGCAUCGGCCGAAUAAGCCGGCGCCUUGACGGUACCUGACCAGAAAGCCCCGGCUAACUACGUGCCAGCCGCCGC
rnacentral:rRNA from 1 species